CUCCAAGCUGUGUUUUAUACAGGUGUGUUACCAACGCUUCAGUGGCAUCCCUGGCUUCUUUUUUCUUCUUCCUGUGCUGUUCCACAUGGUGUACCAGAUGGGCUUGGAAUGUUUCCCAUGGUCGAACUCCAUCCCAGAGUUUCCAGCCUGCCCUAGCCUACCUUGCUCCCGCCUCCCAGGAAGACAUCACUGAUUGACGACCAUAUAUAAAGAGGAAGAGGAGGGAGAAUGGUGUGGGAUGUUGGAGGUGGUUAUGUGGGAUUUGUUGUUAGGAGAGUGUUUGGUUUGUGUUGUUUGCCCUUG
ensembl:lncRNA